AUUGAACGCUGGCGGCAGGCCUAACACAUGCAAGUCGAGCGAUCGGCGGACGGGUGAGUAAUGUAUGGGGACUGCCCGAUAGAGGGGGAUAACUACUGGAAACGGUGGCUAAUACCGCAUACUGUCGUAUAACCCAUAUGGGAUUAGCUAGUAGGUAAGGUAAUGGCUUACCUAGGCGACGAUCCCUAGCUGGUCUUAGAGGAUUAUCAGCCAGACUGGGACUGAGAUACGGCCCAGACUCCUACGGAGGCAGAAGUGGGGAAUAUUGCACAAUGGGCGAAAGCCUGAUGCAGCAAGGCCGCGUGUAUGAAGAAGGCCCUAGGGUUGUAAAGUACUUUCAGUCGGGAGGCGUUACCGACAGAAGAAGCACCGGCUAACUCCGUGCCAGCAGCCGCGGUAAUAC
rnacentral:rRNA from 1 species